AAAUUGACGGGGACCCGCACAAGCGGUGGAUGAUGUGGAUUAAUUCGAUGCAACGCGAAAACCUUACCUACCCUUGACAUGUCCGGAAUCCCGAAGAGAUUUGGGAGUGCUCGCAAGAGAGCCGGAACACAGGUGCUGCAUGGCUGUCGUCAGCUCGUGUCGUGAGAUGUUGGGUUAAGUCCCGCAACGAGCGCAACCCUUGUCAUUAGUUGCCAUCAUUUGGUUGGGCACUCUAAUGAGACUGCCGGUGACAAACCGGAGGAAGGUGGGGAUGACGUCAAGUCCUCAUGGCCCUUAUGGGUAGGGCUUCACACGUCAUACAAUGGUCGGUACAGAGGGUUGCCAACCCGCGAGGGGGAGCUAAUCCCACAAAGCCGAUCGUAGUCCGGAUCGCAGUCUGCAACUCGACUGCGUGAAGUCGGAAUCGCUAGUAAUCGUGGAUCAGCAUGUCACGGUGAAUACGUUCCCGGGUCUU
rnacentral:rRNA from 1 species